AGUGAACGCUGGCGGUAGGCCUAACACAUGCAAGUCGAACGGCAGCACAGUAAGAGCUUGCUCUUACGGGUGGCGAGUGGCGGACGGGUGAGGAAUACAUCGGAAUCUACUUUUUCGUGGGGGAUAACAUAGGGAAACUUACGCUAAUACCGCAUACGACCUACGGGUGAAAGCAGGGGAUCUUCGGACCUUGCGCGAUUGAAUGAGCCGAUGUCGGAUUAGCUAGUUGGCGGGGUAAAGGCCCACCAAGGCGACGAUCCGUAGCUGGUCUGAGAGGAUGAUCAGCCACACUGGAACUGAGACACGGUCCAGACUCCUACGGGAGGCAGCAGUGGGGAAUAUUGGACAAUGGGCGCAAGCCUGAUCCAGCCAUACCGCGUGGGUGAAGAAGGCCUUCGGGUUGUAAAGCCCUUUUGUUGGGAAAGAAAAGCAGCAGGUUAAUACCCCGCUGUUCUGACGGUACCCAAAGAAUAAGCACCGGCUAACUUUGUG
rnacentral:rRNA from 1 species